rnacentral:rRNA from 1 species
AUACGUAGGUGGCAAGCGUUGUGCGGAAUUAUUGGGCGUAAAGCGCGCGCAGGCGGUCCUUUAAGUCUGUUGUGAAAGCCCACGGCUCAACCGUGGAGGGUCAUUGGAAACUGGGGGACUUGAGUGCAGAAGAGGAAAGUGGAAUUCCAAGUGUAGCGGUGAAAUGCGUAGAGAUUUGGAGGAACACCAGUGGCGAAGGCGACUUUCUGGUCUGUAACUGACGCUGAGGCGCGAAAGCGUGGGGAGCAAACAGGAAUAUAUACCCUGGUAGUCCACGCUGUAAACGAUGAGUGCUAAGUGUUAGGGGGUUUCCGCCCCUUAGUGCUGCAGCUAACGCAUUAAGCACUCCGCCUGGGGAGUACGGUCGCAAGACUGAAACUCAAAUGAAUUGACGGGG